AAUCGUGAUACUGUAUGUAGGGCCCUUCUCAGAAAGGUUCACUCAGGCUCUGCCUUGCUGAACUGACCUGAGCACGCUGAGUCCACGGCCCUCUUGGCCGCAAUCCUUCAUUUGAAAAGACAACAUUCUGAAUGACUCUUCUGACAGCUUGCUGCCUAAUUCAACACAGCAGACUUUGCCCCACUGGCUGAGACUUACGGAAUUCCUACCAAGUGUGGAGUACUGUACCAGGCCCUGGGGUAAAUGACAAAAGCACUGAAUGACAGUUAUAGGCUGUAUUCUCCUUUGUGCUUUUCUGUGAUACUGUUCAACUCUCUUCACCUUCCAUUCUGGGGGACCCAGCACCACACGUCUAUCUGCAUGGUCCACUUCACAGGAUGGAGCCCAUACCUGGUGGUAUCAUCAGGGUCAAGACCUUCUGGCUAGAUAGAUCACAGGCCAUAGGAGAGACCCUACUAAAUUCUACUAAAUUGACAUCAUACUAAACUGACUCCUAAUGACUUAUUAUACUCAUUGAUUACUGUAUCUCUCAGCUCUCACCAGAGAGACAUCUUCUUACAGCAGAUUGUAAUUUACACAGAGACACCCAACUGGUCAACAGAGAGAGCAUUAGUGUUCAGUCAGUCCUAAAUGGGAAGCCUAUAUCAUCCCCUCACCUCCCAAGCCUCAGGAAUUGUUAGAAAGAGGAGGGUAGUGUUGGGAGCUAUUAGUAUAAGCACAGCCAUUAUGUACAUUGAGCUGUGGCAGGCUUGCUUGUUUACUUUAUGAUCUUUCGCCUUGACUCAAGUUUGUGUGUUUUGCACACAAGUACAGAAUUGUUCUGCCAAGUUAGGAGGAAUGCAUUGAUAAUUUAGGGAAGAUAAUUAAAUGGUUGUAUCCACAAGUAUUUGACCGUUCCUUGACCCUCAGAUAAAGGUGGGAAAAAAAGAGCUGUUGAAGCUAAUUCAGCUAAGCAAAC